GACGAACGCUGGCGGCGUGCCUAAUACAUGCAAGUAGAACGCUGAAGGAGGAGCUUGCUUCUCUGGAUGUGUUGCGAACGGGUGAGUAACGCGUAGGUAACCUGCCUGGUAGCGGGGGAUAACUAUUGGAAACGAUAGCUAAUACCGCAUAAUAGUAGAUGUUGCAUGACAUUUGCUUAAAAGGUGCAAUUGCAUCACUACCAGAUGGACCUGCGUUGUAUUAGCUAGUUGGUGGGGUAACGGCUCACCAAGGCGACGAUACAUAGCCGACCUGAGAGGGUGAUCGGCCACACUGGGACUGAGACACGGCCCAGACUCCUACGGGAGGCAGCAGUAGGGAAUCUUCGGCAAUGGACGGAAGUCUGACCGAGCAACGCCGCGUGAGUGAAGAAGGUUUUCGGAUCGUAAAGCUCUGUUGUAAGAGAAGAACGAGUGUGAGAGUGGAAAGUUCACACUGUGACGGUAUCUUACCAGAAAGGGACGGCUAACUACGUG
rnacentral:rRNA from 1 species